GAUGAACGCUAGCUACAGGCUUAACACAUGCAAGUCGAGGGGCAGCGGGAUUGAAGCUUGCUUCAAUUGCCGGCGACCGGCGCACGGGUGAGUAACGCGUAUCCAACCUUCCGUACACUCAGGGAUAGCCUUUCGAAAGAAAGAUUAAUACCUGAUGGUAUGAUGAGAUUGCAUGAUAGCAUCAUUAAAGAUUUAUCGGUGUACGAUGGGGAUGCGUUCCAUUAGGUAGUAGGCGGGGUAACGGCCCACCUAGCCGACGAUGGAUAGGGGUUCUGAGAGGAAGGUCCCCCACAUUGGAACUGAGACACGGUCCAAACUCCUACGGGAGGCAGCAGUGAGGAAUAUUGGUCAAUGGACGAGAGUCUGAACCAGCCAAGUAGCGUGAAGGAUGAAGGUCCUACGGAUUGUAAACUUCUUUAUAAGGGAAUAAACCCUCCACGUGUGGGAGCUUGUAUGUACCUUAUGAAUAAGCAUCGGCUAACUCCGU
rnacentral:rRNA from 1 species